rnacentral:rRNA from 1 species
AUUGAACGCUGGCGGCAUGCCUUACACAUGCAAGUCGAACGGCAGCACGGGGCAACCUGGUGGCGAGUGGCGAACGGGUGAGUAAUGCAUCGGAACGUACCUUUCAGUGGGGGAUAACGUAGCGAAAGUUACGCUAAUACCGCAUAUUCUGUGAGCAGGAAAGCGGGGGAUCGCAAGACCUUGCGCUGAUUGAGCGGCCGAUGUCAGAUUAGCUAGUUGGUGAGGUAAAGGCUCACCAAGGCGACGAUCUGUAGCGGGUCUGAGAGGAUGAUCCGCCACAGUGGAACUGAGACACGGUCCAGACUCCUGCGGGAGGCAGCAGUGGGGAAUUUUGGACAAUGGGGGCAACCCUGAUCCAGCCAUGCCGCGUGAGUGAAGAAGGCCUUCGGGUUGUAAAGCUCUUUCGGCCGGGAAGAAAUCGCACGGGCUAAUACCCUGUGUGGAUGACGGUACCGGAAUAAGAAGCACCGGCUAACUACGUGCCAGCCGCCGCGGUAACAC